AAAGUACUCCCUUCGUCCCAAAAUUCUUGUCUUAGAUUUGUCUAGAUACGGAUGUAUCAAGUCACAUUUUAGUAUUAGAUACAUCCGUAUCUAGACAAAUCUAAGACAAGAAAUUUGAGACAGAGGGAGUAACUG
rnacentral:pre_miRNA from 1 species